rnacentral:rRNA from 1 species
CCCUUAGAUGUUCUGGGCCGCACGCGCGCUACACUGUUUGAUUCAGCGAGUCUUAACCUUGACCGAAAGGUUUGGGUAAUCUUCUAAAGUCAAACGUGAUGGGGAUCGAUCAUUGCAAUUAUUGAUCGUGAACGAGGAAUUCCUAGUAAAUGCAAGUCAUCAGCUUGCGUCGAUUACGUCCCUGCCCUUUGUACACACCGCCCGUCGCUCCUACCGAUUGGGUGUGCUGGUGAAAUGUUCGGAUCGGCCGUUUGUCGCGGUUUCCGCGUCAUGUGGCUGAGAAGUUCAUUAAACCCUCCCACCUAGAGGAAGGAGAAGUCGUAACA